GUGCAGCAGUCGAGAAACUUUACAAUGUGCGAAAGCACCAUAAGGGAACUCUGAGUGCCUCCUAAGGAGGCUGUUCUGAUGUCUAAAAGCAACAGAAGUAAGGGCUGGGUAAGACCGGUGCCAGCCGCCGCGGUAACACCGGCAGCCCAAGUGGUAGCCACGUUUAUUGGGUCUAAAGCGUUCGUAGCCGGCCAGGUAAGUUCCUUGGUAAAUUUAGCCGCUUAACGGUUAAGCUUUCAGGGAAUACUGCUUGGCUUGGGAACUGGGGAGAGGUCAGAGGUACUCCGGGGGUAGGGGUGAAAUCUAUUAAUCCCUGGGGGACCACCGGUAGCGAAGGCGUCUGACCAGACCAGGUCCGACGGUGAGGGACGAAGGCUAGGGGCGCGAACCGGAUUA
rnacentral:rRNA from 1 species